rnacentral:misc_RNA from 1 species
GAUGAAGAACGCAGCGAAAUGCGAUAAGUAGUGUGAAUUGCAGAAUUCAGUGAAUCAUCGAAUCUUUGAACGCACAUUGCGCCCCUUGGUAUUCCAUGGGGCAUGCCUGUUCGAGCGUCAUUUGUACCUUCAAGCUCUGCUUGGUGUUGGGUGUUUGUCUCGCCUCUGCGAGUAGACUCGCCUCAAAACAAUUGGCAGCCGGCGUAUUGAUCUCGGAGCGCAGUACAUCUCGCGCUUUGCACUCAUAACGACGACGUCCAAAAGUACAUUUUUACACUCUUGACCUCGGAUCAGGUAGGGAUACCCGCUGAACUUAAGCAUAUCAAUAAGCGGAGGA